rnacentral:rRNA from 1 species
GAUGAACGCUGGCGGCGUGCCUAAUACAUGCAAGUCGAGCGAACAGACGAGGAGCUUACUCCUCUGACGUUAGCGGCGGACGGGUGAGUAACACGUGGAUAACCUACCUAUAAGACUGGGAUAACUUCGGGAAACCGGAGCUAAUACCGGAUAACAUGUUGAACCGCAUGGUUCAACAGUGAAAGACGGUCUUGCUUUCACUUAUAGAUGGAUCCGCGUCGCAUUAGCUAGUUGGUAAGGUAACGGCUUACCAAGGCAACGAUGCGUAGCCGACCUGAGAGGGUGAUCGGCCACACUGGAACUGAGACACGGUCCAGACUCCUACGGGAGGCAGCAGUAGGGAAUCUUCCGCAAUGGGCGAAAGCCUGACGGAGCAACGCCGCGUGAGUGAAGAAGGUCUUCGGAUCGUAAAACUCUGUUAUUAGGGAAGAACAAAUGUGUAAGUAACUAUGCACGUCUUGACGGUACCUAAUCAGAAAGCCACGGCUAACUACGUG